rnacentral:lncRNA from 1 species
UCAUUCAAAUAUCUCUGUUGAAAAUCAGUACAAAUCUUAGCAUCGAUCAAGCAACUCUUAAUCUUGCUCCAAUUCUUCCCACUGGUCACUCUCUUCUGCAACCAAUUCGAAUAAUCACCCAGCCUAUACUCUUUAUACCCUUUAUCAGACAAAACUUUACCAGCACCUUUGUUGGUCACCACAAAAGUUAAAAUCGUGAAGCAGAAGAGUACGACAAUGAGGAGAAACAUGACUACGAGGUAAACCCAGAGGAGCCAUGAAACGCCACAAC